GCGACCCCAGGAUGGGCGAGGCCACCCGCCGAGUUUAAGCAUAUCAAUAAGCGGAGGACAAGAAACU
rnacentral:rRNA from 2 species